UGCGCUGUAACGUCCUGUUUACGCUCCCGUCCAGGCUCUUCGACAACACCCAGAAAACAUGUCAGGGAGGCCAAGACUUUGCCGACACUUCCUCACUCGUCGGGGCUGCAAGUAUGGAGAAAAGUGCAAAUUCGUCCAUUCAGAAAGAGAUGAAGUAGCGGUUAAUUAUCAAUGCAAGCCGCAGUAUGUCCAGAAACAGCAGCCCUCACACCAUACACGGCAAGAACAACGCAAACACGACCAUCCACAGCACUAUGCGCAGCAGCAACAUGGGCACAAACACGACCGGACCCAUCACAACCAUCCACGACAAGAGGCACGGCAAUACAAGGUACAACAGAAGCAACUAAAUGCACCGCAGCACACAGCCUCUGAGGAGCCCAUGGACACAUCGGAGCCGUCCAUGGCGUCCAUGCAGUAUGCAUUCACCGAGGACCAACUGCAUGAGCCAAUGGACGAGUCUCCCUAGUCUCGUUUGGCCAUAUACUUCGGCCCCAAAUGUGUCAGCUAUUGUAUUCAUCCAGAGUUAUAUACGAGGUUAUAGUCUGGUUAAGGCCCCCUUAAACAGUUGGGGCCACUACUAUUCUUUGUUUGAGUCAUGGUUUUGAGCAAAAAUAAAAUAAUAUUGUGUGAGUGUA